UUCGCCUGGUUCCGCUGGCAGUUUUAGCGGCAAUAAAAGGCACAAUUUUUGAUGUCAGCUAACGAAAAAGCGAUAUUUAUCACUUUUUCAUUGCUGGCUACUGGACAAAAGCCUCGGCAAUUGCUGUACUAGCUAACGACACAGUUUAGUGUCCAUUUUUCAUGUAAAGGUAAUAUAGAUGUCUAAGAUUAAAGGUAGCGUUAAGUGGUUUAAUGAGUCCAAAGGAUUCGGUUUCAUUACUCCUGAAGAUGGUAGCAAAGACGUGUUCGUACACUUCUCUGCCAUCCAGAGCAACGGUUUCAAAACUCUGGCUGAAGGUCAGCGCGUAGAGUUCGAAAUCACCAACGGUGCCAAAGGCCCAUCUGCUGCUAACGUUGCCGCUAUUUAAGUUAUCAGACAGAAUUUUAAAAACCCGCCGAAUGGCGGGUUUUUUUUU
rfam:Erwinia mallotivora strain BT-MARDI contig_75, whole genome shotgun sequence.